AAUAGAUACCCAGGUAGUCCACGCCGUAAACGAUGAGUGCUAAGUGUUAGAGGGUUUCCGCCCGUUUAGUGCUGCAGCUAACGCAUUAAGCACUCCGCCUGGGGAGUACGGCCGCAAGGCUGAAACUCAAAGGAAUUGACGGGGGCCCGCACAAGCGGUGGAGCAUGUGGUUUAAUUCGAAGCAACGCGAAGAACCUUACCAGAUCUUGACAUCCUCUGCCAACCCUAGAGAUAGGGCGUUCCCCUUCGGGGGACAGAGUGACAGGUGGUGCAUGGUUGUCGUCAGCUCGUGUCGUGAGAUGUUGGGUUAAGUCCCGCAACGAGCGCAACCCUUGAUCUUAGUUGCCAGCAUUUAGUUGGGCACUCUAAGGUGACUGCCGGUGACAAACCGGAGGAAGGUGGGGAUGACGUCAAAUCAUCAUGCCCCUUAUGACCUGGGCUACACACGUGCUACAAUGGAUGGUACAAAGAGCUGCGAACCCGCGAGGGUAAGCCAAUCUCAUAAAGCCAUUCUCAGUUCGGAUUGU
rnacentral:rRNA from 1 species